rnacentral:RNase_MRP_RNA from 1 species
NNNNNNNNUGAAAGCCUGUUUCCUAGGCUACAUACGGGGGACUUGUUCAUCAUCUGGUUGCCUAGGGGCAAGUCCGCGGACCUUGGGCAGAAAGUGCCACGUGCUCACGCACGUAGACCCUCCCCGCGCUUCACGCUUAGCCCGCUAAGAAGCAAACCUGCUCUCUGGGAUGGGGAAGCUGAGCAGCAUGUUGCAGGACGUCAUCCGUCAGCGGUCAUAGUGACGCAGGCAGUGUGUACGUCGUUGCGCACCAACCACACGGGGCUCAUUCUCAGCGCGGC